AGCAGCCGCGGUAAUUCCAGCUCCAAUAGCGUAUAUUAAAGUUGUUGCAGUUAAAAAGCUCGUAGUUGAAUUUCGGGAUCAAUACGUCGGUCGUGCUUCGGUACGUACUGGCGUAAUUGAUUUCUCCCUUCUGACGAACCAUGAUGUCAUUAACUUGGUGUCAUGGGAAAUCAGGACUGUUACUUUGAAAAAAUUAGAGUGUUUAAAGCAGGCUCACGCUUGAAUACAUUAGCAUGGAAUAAUGAAAUAGGACGUUCGAUCCUAUUUUGUUGGUUUUUAGGAUCAACGUAAUGAUUAAUAGGGAUAGUUGGGGGCAUUAGUAUUCAAUUGUCAGAGGUGAAAUUCUUGGAUUUAUUGAAGACUAACUACUGCGAAAGCAUUUGCCAAGGAUGUUUUCAUUAAUCAAGAACGAAAGUUAGGGGAUCGAAGACGAUCAGAUACCGUCGUAGUCUUAACCAUAAACUAUGCCGACUAGGGAUCGGGUGAUGUUAAUUUUUUAAUGACUCAUUCGGCGCCUUAA
rnacentral:misc_RNA from 2 species